rnacentral:rRNA from 1 species
CGCGCAGGCGGCCUUUUAAGUCUGACGGUGAAAUGCCGGGGCUCAACCCCGUGCCCGCCGGAGAUACUGGGAGGCUGGAGACGAGUAGAGGCAAGCGGAAUUCCGGGUGUAGCGGUGGAAUGCGUAGAGAUCCGGGAGAACACCGGAGGCGAAGGCGGCUUGCUGGGCUCGGUCUGACGCUGAGGCGCGAAAGCGUGGGGAGCGAACA